GUAAACUUGAUUGUCAUGUCCUUGGCUGUCUUGUCUUUGUAAAUUUAUUUAUGUAAUUAUAAAUUAAACCAGAUUUCCUAGUGCUUCUUGAUCUGUUGGCUCAUUCUGCUGCUCUGGAGAUGUUCUCAUCUAUCAUCGAGUUUCUCUUCUAUUUCCUUCCUCCUCUCCUUCUGGAACUUCAGCUACAACCAUGUUAGAGGUUUCAACAUGUGUUGGGUAUAUUAUGCUCUUUUCUAUAUUUUUCUCUGACCACAAACUUUUUUGUUCACUUACUCUCUCCAUCUGUGUUGAAUCUGCUGUUAAACUCACCCAGUGAGUUCAUAAUUUCAUACCUUAUUUUUUUUUGCAUUUCUAAUAUUUCCAUUUCAUAUUUCUCAGUAGAUUCCAACGUGUGACAUACAUCUCCAUCUUACAAUUUACUUCUUAAAAUGUACUAAUGAAGCCCACAUUUGAUGGUUUCUUUCUGGUGUACCACAAGCCUUCCUGUGUGUGUGCAUGUGUGUGCAAACACCUGCACACAUUCCAUGCUUUUUCAUUGACUUUGAUCUCCCCCAGUGAUUUCUGACUGGGGUUUUGUUUUCAAUGCCAUUUGUAAAGACACUCUGGGGCUCCAGAUGCUCUGUCUUCCUCUACAGUGCAUCUGAUCUUUCUCCCCGCAGGCAGCUAGGCAGGAGCAGUGUUCUCAAUUCAGCGCUCGGGGUUCAUUCUUGAGGGAAAACCCACCCCCAGAUACUUGUGUCCAUCUCCACCCUGUGUGGAGCCCAGGGCUCUCCUCACUGGCCAGCCCUUCUUCUGCAGAGUCCCACCCUGUCAGCUGCCCUGUGCAAAUGGCAAGUGCCAGUCCUGCUUUCCUCCCCCAGUCUGUCCUCCCAUUUCUUUUAGACUUAGCUGCUCACAGCCUUCCUUCCAUGACAGCCGUGCAAUGCCCACCUCUCCUGGCUGUUCUUGAGGGGGGCUUGUUCAGCCACCCACCUGCCACUUCAGGGCCAGGGGCAUCCCUGGUCCUCCCAUCCACACCCUAGGGAGACCCUCCUCAAUACCUGAUCUGGAAUAAGCACCCCCCAAAG
rnacentral:lncRNA from 1 species